rnacentral:lncRNA from 1 species
GUAUUGGAGAUACACAGGGGAUCAAGAUAGGCACAAUCCUGCUUUCAUGAAGCCGAUAGUCCAGUGAGGCAUACAGAGGAGCAAAUCUUGGGAGAUUUAUUACAAUAGAGGGGGAUAAAUAUGAUUGAGUAACCAAAAGUUGCUAUGUGAGUCACAAGGGCGGGCCUAACUCAGACACGGGGAUCUGGAAAGGUUUCCUGGAGGUGGUAAUGUCUCAGCAGAGAGCUGAAAGGUGACUUAAGCAGACAAUACAGGGGCAGCUGGAUCGGGGGUAGGGGGAGAGAAGGAGUACAAAGUUUUGAAGACAAAGGAGGGUUUGGCAGCUAAUUCAGUGUGGCUGCAGUGUGAUGUGUGGUUGCUUCACUGUGGGGGUGACGCAGAAGAGGUUCAGAGGAGCGGGAUUAUAGCACCAUCUCGACACCAGGCUUCCAUUGACGACCAGCUUUGGCUGUUCCAACUCACCACAGCCUCUGAAAGACCCAUGCUCUCUUUGGAUUGCUUGGUACCUGCAGCACGUUUCCAUGCCUGGGAGAUGGAUCAUAUAACACCAAUUCUGACCUUCCCUGCUUCCACAUAUCCUGAUUCAGCACUACUAAGAAGCAGCACCAGAUGCCUGGAGGUAUUGUGUAUGAUUGGCAGCCAGAGAGCAUUAUCUUGGAUGAGGAAACCAAAGCACAGAGAGAUGAG